GUGGGGAAUAUUGGACAAUGGGCGCAAGCCUGAUCCAGCCAUGCCGCGUGAGUGAUGAAGGCCCUAGGGUUGUAAAGCUCUUUCACCGGAGAAGAUAAUGACGGUAUCCGGAGAAGAAGCCCCGGCUAACUUCGUGCCAGCAGCCGCGGUAAUACGAAGGGGGCUAGCGUUGUUCGGAAUUACUGGGCGUAAAGCGCACGUAGGCGGACAUUUAAGUCAGGGGUGAAAUCCCGGGGCUCAACCCCGGAACUGCCUUUGAUACUGGGUGUCUGGAGUAUGGAAGAGGUAGGUGGAAUUCCGGGUGUAGAGGUGAAAUUCGUAGAUAUUCGGAGGAACACCAGUGGCGAAGGCGGCUUACUGGUCCAUUACUGACGCUGAGGUGCGAAAGCGUGGGGAGCAAACAGGAUUAGAUACCCGGGUAGUCC
rnacentral:rRNA from 1 species